GUCAGCUGUGAUUGUGACUGUACUCCAGCCUGGGCAACAGAGUGAUACCCUGUCUCAAAAAGAAGAAAGAAGAAAGAAGAAGAAAGAAGAGGAGAAGAAAGAAAUUCGAGUUACUAUCAAAAGAAGGUGGGAAAUCUUCAGCAGUAAGUAUGAGUAUUUCUUUGUUGAUCAAAAUGGAGACCUUAUGUUCCAUUACAUAGAUGAAGGGCAACUAGGUGAUUUUAGGCAGGCAAUAACUGAAUUCUACAAGUCCGUCUCAGAUACAAAACUCUUUAAAAAAGUGACAUUUUCCUUCAAAUAUAAACUAUAUUGAUAAUCAAUCAGUUAUAAAUUCUUUGUGGAAUUUUGAGGUGUUUUUGGCCAAAAAAGGUACCAAAAUACCGCUUUUUGAAAUUCAAAACCUAUUAUAUGUAGAAUGAAAUAAUGAGAAUUUUUUUUAUGAAGAAGACUGACGAAAAUAUAGAGGUAAUAAAUUCCGCAGAUUGCAUUGAUAUAAUAGAAGACAAGCCCAAGAAAAGUAUAAAUAAUUAAGUGCAAGUGGUAGGAGAGCGUUGCAUUCAGCGUCGAAGGUGUACCGGUAAGGAGCGCUGGAGCGAAUGCAAGUGAGCAUGCAGGCAUGAGUAGCGAUAAUUGGGGUGAGAAUCCCCAACGCCGUAAACCCAAGGUUUCCUACGCGAUGCUCGUCAUCGUAGGGUUAGCCGGGUCCUAAGCAAAGUCCGAAAGGGGUAUGCGAUGGAAAAUUGGUUAAUAUUCCAAUGCCAACUAUAAUGUGCGAUGGAAGGACGCUUAGAGUUAGAGGAGCCAGCGGAUGGUAGUGCUGGUCGAAAGGUGUAGGUUAAGAUCCAGGCAAAUCCGGAUCUUUUUAAGCCGAGACCCCAUAGGCACACAAAGUUCUUCGGAACAGCGUGUGAAUCCUUGAUACUGUCGAGCCAAGAAAAGUUUCUAAGUUUAGUUAUAGUUGCCCGUACCGUAAACCGACACAGGUGGGUGGGAUGAGUAUUCUAAGGCGCGUGGAAGAACUCUCUUCAAGGAACUCUGCAAAAUAGCACCGUAUCUUCGGUAUAAGGUGUGCCUAGCUUCGUUAAGAAUUUACUUCGUAAGCGAAGAAGGUUACAACAAAGAGUCCCUCCCGACUGUUUACCAAAAACACAGCACUCUGCUAACUCGUAAGAGGAUGUAUAGGGUGUGACGCCUGCCCGGUGCUCGAAGGUUAAUUGAUGACGUUAGCUCUGCGAAGCGUUUGAUCGAAGCCCGAGUAAACGGCGGCCGUAACUAUAACGGUCCUAAGGUAGCGAAAUUCCUUGUCGAUUAAAUAUCGACCUGCAUGAAUGGCGUAACGAGAUGGGAGCUGUCUCGAAGAGGGAUCCAGUGAAAUUGUAGUGGAGGUGAAAAUUCCUCCUACCCGCGGCAAGACGGAGAGACCCCGUGGACCUUUACUAUAGCUUGACACUGCUACUUGGA
rnacentral:rRNA from 1 species